rnacentral:sRNA from 1 species
AAGUGGCAGGCAGGCAGGCUGGCCCCGGGGACUUCUCUCUGGCCCUGCUCCCUCCGAGCGUUCCGCCGUUGCCCGCCUGGCCCCUACGGCAGGGGCGGGCAGAGGGCGGGGCUGCUGCCAGAUCUAGUCAGACAGGUGGAGCCGCCGGGGCAGGAGUCUCAAAGAGACAGGCUCCAGGAGAGGAAGGGCUCUGCGAGAGGAGAGAGGAGAGCGCUGGAGAGGAGAGGCUGGAGAGUCCUUAGCCAGGAUGGAGGCUGUUGUGAACUUGUACCAAGAGGUGAUGAAGCACGCAGAUCCCCGGAUCCAGGGCUACCCUCUGAUGGGGUCCCCCUUGCUAAUGACCUCCAUUCUCCUGACCUACGUGUACUUCGUUCUCUCACUUGGGCCUCGCAUCAUGGCUAAUCGGAAGCCCUUCCAGCUCCGUGGCUUCAUGAUUGUCUACAACUUCUCACUGGUGGCACUCUCCCUCUACAUUGUCUAUGAGUUCCUGAUGUCGGGCUGGCUGAGCACCUAUACCUGGCGCUGUGACCCUGUGGACUAUUCCAACAGCCCUGAGGCACUUAGGAUGGUUCGGGUGGCCUGGCUCUUCCUCUUCUCCAAGUUCAUUGAGCUGAUGGACACAGUGAUCUUUAUUCUCCGAAAGAAAGACGGGCAGGUGACCUUCCUACAUGUCUUCCAUCACUCUGUGCUUCCCUGGAGCUGGUGGUGGGGGGUAAAGAUUGCCCC